AUGCGUCCCAAGCGUACACUGGCAAUCUCAGAGACAUCAUUCUCCACUGUCGCACCAGAAUGAGUUUGAAGGCAUUAUUUUAAGUGCGAGCAAGCUGUGAAGGAAGUUGAUGGACAGGUACAGAGAAAGGGCUGUCCACAUCGUCCUGCCUACAGAUGACCCUCACAGGAACACACUGUCAGAACCAUGUUGAUUUUACAAUGCCACAGCAGGGUGGAAUGAUAUGAGGAGUGCAUGUUUUUGAAGAUUUUGUCUUUGAAUGUUUUGGCUGAGCCAGGAGCAAAAUAAAGUGGUCUGAU